rnacentral:rRNA from 1 species
GAGUUUGAUUCUGGCUCAGGACGAACGCUGGCGGCGUGCUUAACACAUGCAAGUCGAACGGAAAGGCCUGCUUUUGUGGGGUGCUCGAGUGGCGAACGGGUGAGUAACACGUGAGUAACCUGCCCUUGACUUUGGGAUAACUUCAGGAAACUGGGGCUAAUACCGGAUAGGAGCUCCUGCUGCAUGGUGGGGGUUGGAAAGUUUCGGCGGUUGGGGAUGGACUCGCGGCUUAUCAGCUUGUUGGUGGGGUAGUGGCUUACCAAGGCUUUGACGGGUAGCCGGCCUGAGAGGGUGACCGGCCACAUUGGGACUGAGAUACGGCCCAGACUCCUACGGGAGGCAGCAGUGGGGAAUAUUGCACAAUGGGCGGAAGCCUGAUGCAGCAACGCCGCGUGCGGGAUGACGGCCUUCGGGUUGUAAACCGCUUUCGCCUGUGACGAAGCGUGAGUGACGGUAAUGGGUAAAGAAGCACCGGCUAACUACGUGCCAGCAGCCGCGGUGAUACGUAGGGUGCGAGCGUUGUCCGGAUUUAUCGGGCGUAAAGGGCUCGUAGGUGGUUGAUCGCGUCGGAAGUGUAAUCUUGGGGCUUAACCCUGAGCGUGCUUUCGAUACGGGUUGACUUGAGGAAGGUAGGGGAGAAUGGAAUUCCUGGUGGAGCGGUGGAAUGCGCAGAUAUCAGGAGGAACACCAGUGGCGAAGGCGGUUCUCUGGGCCUUUCCUGACGCUGAGGAGCGAAAGCGUGGGGAGCGAACAGGAUUAGAUACCCUGGUAGUC